UAGUUCGGGAGGAUCUGUCUGCUUAAUUGCGUAUCACUAUUGGAUCCAUCAUACAUGCAUUCGUUGCGGCAUUGACCCCGUGACUUCAUUGUCAUGCGCGCGUCUUUCGCUUAGCUCGUUGCAUAUUGGAUCCUGAUAGCAACGAACGUGACCGCACCCUCUUGUUGCUUUCAUACCCAAAUAUCUAAUAGGUAGGCAUAUAUUAUAUUAAGAAAGCUUCCCAUACACAAACUAGAGGGACCGCUGUUACUUUCUUAACCCAGAGGAAGGUUGCGGCAAUAACAGGUCUGUGAUGCCCUUAGAUGUUCCGGGCGGCACACGUGCUACAAUGAUUAUUGCAGUGAGCAUCUCAUUUAUUACUACAUGGCAUGCGCGAGUCAUAUUUAUUCCGUUCGCGGUUUAAAUAUUUGAUCUCUGCGCGCGAUUAAGCCUACUUUGAAAGUAAGCGGGUAAUCAAUUAGAAGUAAUGAUUUCCUACUCUUAGCAGUACUUGCACACAUAUAUGCGGCACAUCUACCCGGCUUGCCUUGUUGCAAGUUUUUGUGCGUAGAUGUGUACUUUUUCCGCAUGUGCAAUUGUCAAUUCAUGGUGG
rnacentral:rRNA from 1 species